CAAGACUAGCAGCAACACGGCUCGCGUUGUCAGACUUUCCUCCAUGGUGACUAGUUGACUUUUACAUUCUCGAUAAUGAGACUUCUAAUUGCAGUGUUUCUGGUGAUCGCAGUGGUCCUUUUCCUAGCAGCUGACUCCGAAGCUGUUGAGUGUAGGAGGGACUCGGAUUGCACAGUAGCUCUCCUCUGCUACCGAGGAACUCCCAAAUGUAUCUACUUUCAUUGCAGUUGCUCGGAUGACCAAUGGGAUUGAGGAAGCGAGGGCGUUGAAGUUUGUUGAAUAUUUUACAUAAAUAAAUCGAUAAACCAAUUUCAAAA